AAGGAGAAGUGAUGUACAAUAUUGUAAUUUUACUAUAAGUACAAGUUUUAAAGCAAGAUAUACAAGAGUGUGCAAGCCAAUAUAAUAGAGAGAUGGAUUUAUUUUUAAGACGCAUUAGGGGUAAAACUGAGAUUUCGCAACAGGAUCGAUUGAAUGCCGCAUUCAUUCAUUAUCUGUUAUACCCACCUGUUCAGUUUCUUUGUUUAUGGCUAUAACUCCCGAUUACAAUUGACAUGACAGUACAAUUCAUUUCUCAUCUUCCUACUCUCUCUAUCUUUUCAAAUCCAAACUACGAUGGUGUGCUCCGAUGGUGUGCUUGCUUUGGCGAUGAUUCAAACCAUGACUACAGAUCUGAAGAGGAUUGAGAUCAGGAAAGGAAUGACAAAGAUUGAAGCUGCUACGCCUGGGACAUGACCGUUUGACGGCUUUGUCAUCCACAACACUGUUGCUGGAAUCCUCCAUUUUAGGGAUUCUUAUUCAUCGUUGCGUUGUUGGUAAAGGGUUCAGAUUUUUCCAAGCCUCUGUCGAUGAAGGAGUUUUUUAUUUGGGGAAACCUUUGAAAUCUAAUUUUGUAAGAUUAAAGCUUUUAUUUGAAACUGAAAUUGAGAACUGGUGUGUUUUAAGGUUUUGCAUAUAUGCAUCCGUGUGGUUACUUAACUCAUGAUGGUAA